AAUGGGCGCAAGCCUGAUGCAGCGACGCCGCGUGGGGGAUGAAGGCCUUCGGGUUGUAAACUCCUUUCAACCAUGACGAAGCGUAAGUGACGGUAGUGGUAGAAGAAGCACCGGCUAACUACGUGCCAGCAGCCGCGGUAAUACGUGGGGUGCGAGCGUUGUCCGGAAUUACUGGGCGUAAAGAGCUCGUAGGUGGUUUGUCGCGUCGUCUGUGAAAUUCCGGGGCUUAACUCCGGGCGUGCAGGCGAUACGGGCAUAACUUGAGUGCUGUAGGGGAGACUGGAAUUCCUGGUGUAGCGGUGAAAUGCGCAGAUAUCAGGAGGAACACCGAUGGCGAAGGCAGGUCUCUGGGCAGUAACUGACGCUGAGGAGCGAAAGCAUGGGUAGCGAA
rnacentral:rRNA from 1 species